rnacentral:misc_RNA from 1 species
UGUGGGAGGGGGCUUGCUCCCGAUAGCAGUGUGUCAGGCUGAGCAUCUGUACCUGACCCACUGCUAUCGGGAGCAAGCCCCCUCCCACA